UCCUGCAGCAUGUCUUGAUGUAUGUCGCUGAGCGCAGUCCUGCUGUGUGUGUCCGGUUUCUGUGCAAGACGUUAGAAAGCAGAGAAGCCUCACUGCGCCUCCCUGAUCUAUAAUUUAAUGCUCGAGUGACAUUUUUGUAAAUAUCAUAUUUGUUUGCAGCUAAAAUGACCUGCAGCCUCUGCGCAGCUCCCCUCCAGCACAUCAGGGGGGUUUCUCUCUGCAAAAUAUAUUUAUCCCCCUUCAAAAUAAUUCACCUAAACUCCCCCAAUAUGAGAUCAUUCGUGUCCAAACUCUCAGAGAUUGGAGUGUAUUGUUUCAGUUCUGCAGAUAUAAUUAGUUUUUUGUGUUUUUAUUCGCAGAUUUCUUCGACUAUGUUGUUGUUACUGUAACUGUUACUGGCUGAUCUCGGACCUGUUUAUAUCACAGCUUUCUUUCAUGUCAAAGUGUUUGCUUUGGUCAUAAUUGAUUUCACGGGCCGGGCAGAUCUCUUUAUUGACUCAAGAUGAUGGAAGAAGCGUGUGUGGGUCGAGGAAUAUUUCUAGUUCUGCUUCUUUUUUUCUGACCUUUUUCUGCCAUUUUCAGGCCCUCAAAAAGAAAAAAUACAACAAGUCCAGCAGCAGCAGCAGAGACACUGGAAUGAAUGCGUCAAUAUUCCAGCAGAGUUCAGCUCAGUGAUGUAACAGCGCUGAGAGGCCUUCACGGUCACACUCACUGCUCAGUAUAAAGACAACAUGCAGUUUAGAGGACUUUGAAGCAUCAGGAUGAGUGAGGUCACUGAUGCUGCUGAUCACACUGACCACAGACAGCAGAGUUAAUACCAAAUACAGUGGCGCCAUCUAGUGGACAGUCAGAGCUGUGAAUCUACUGGUGAGUCCAUCCAUGAGCCCUCUCCCAGCUGACUACCCUGGACAAGUCAGCAGCUUAUCACAGAGACAAACAAGUAUUCACACCUACGGACGAUUUAGAGUCACGUAACCUGUUAAGACUGCGAGAGGAAGCGGACUAAACCCACGCAGACACGAGGAGAACAUGUAAACUCCACCC